CACUAACCCCGCGUUAGGGAUUGUAAUGGCAUCCUUUUUUACUUUUUAAAAAAAGAUAUAAUGUAAAGCCAGACCCCUA
rnacentral:sRNA from 1 species